UGAGAAACAUUAAAUGAUGGAAUAAAGGC
rnacentral:sRNA from 1 species